rnacentral:rRNA from 1 species
UACGGAGGGGGCUAGCGUUGUUCGGAAUUACUGGGCGUAAAGCGUGCGCAGGCGGUUUUGUAAGACUGUCGUGAAAUCCCCGGGCUCAACCUGGGAAUUGCGUUGGAGACUGCAAGGCUAGAAUCUGGCAGAGGGGGGUAGAAUUCCACGUGUAGCAGUGAAAUGCGUAGAGAUGUGGAGGAACACCGAUGGCGAAGGGCAGCCCC